rnacentral:rRNA from 1 species
UACGAAGGGGGCUAGCGUUGCUCGGAAUCACUGGGCGUAAAGGGUGCGUAGGCGGGUCUUUAAGUCAGGGGUGAAAUCCUGGAGCUCAACUCCAGAACUGCCUUUGAUACUGAGGAUCUUGAGUCCGGGAGAGGUGAGUGGAACUGCGAGUGUAGAGGUGAAAUUCGUAGAUAUUCGCAAGAACACCAGUGGCGAAGGCGGCUCACUGGCCCGGUACUGACGCUGAGGCACGAAAGCGCGGGGAGCAAACAGG